AUUGAACGCUGGCGGCAGGCCUAACACAUGCAAGUCGAGCGGAUGAAGGGAGCUUGCUCCUGGAUUCAGCGGCGGACGGGUGAGUAAUGCCUAGGAAUCUGCCUGGUAGUGGGGGAUAACGUCCGGAAACGGGCGCUAAUACCGCAUACGUCCUGAGGGAGAAAGUGGGGGAUCUUCGGACCUCACGCUAUCAGAUGAGCCUAGGUCGGAUUAGCUAGUUGGUGGGGUAAAGGCCUACCAAGGCGACGAUCCGUAACUGGUCUGAGAGGAUGAUCAGUCACACUGGAACUGAGACACGGCCCAGACUCCGACGGGAGGCAGCAGUGGGGAAGAUUGGAAGAUGGGCGAAAGCCUGAUCCAGCCAUGCCGCGUGUGUGAAGAAGGUCUUCGGAUUGUAAAGCACUUUAAGUUGGGAGGAAGGGCAGUAAGUUAAUACCUUGCUGUUUUGACGUUACCAACAGAAUAAGCACCGGCUAACUUCGUG
rnacentral:rRNA from 1 species